rnacentral:tRNA from 1 species
GUUUCUGUAGUGUAGUGGUUAUCACGUUUGCUUCACACGCGAAAGGUCCUCGGUUCGAAACGGGGCGUUAACA